rnacentral:rRNA from 1 species
GGUCGAGCGGAGAAUGCAGAAAUGUUUACAUGGAAGCGUUCUUAGCGGCGGACGGGUGAGUAACACGUGGGUAACCUGCCUCAAAGUGGAGGAUAGCCUUCCGAAAGGAAGAUUAAUACCGCAUAAGCCUACAGUGCCGCAUGGCACCGUAGGAAAAGGAGCAAUCCGCUUUGAGAUGGACCCGCGGCGCAUUAGCUAGUUGGUGAGGUAACGGCUCACCAAGGCGACGAUGCGUAGCCGACCUGAGAGGGUGAUCGGCCACAUUGGAACUGAGACACGGUCCAGACUCCUACGGGAGGCAGCAGUGGGGAAUAUUGCACAAUGGGCGAAAGCCUGAUGCAGCAACGCCGCGUGAGUGAUGAAGGCCUUCGGGUCGUAAAGCUCUUUGAUCAGGGAUGAUAAUGACAGUACCUGAAAAACAAGCCACGGCUAACUACGUGCCAGCAGCCGCGGUAAUACGUAGGUGGCGAGCGUUGUCCGGAAUUACUGGGCGUAAAGGAUGCGUAGGUGGAUACUUAAGUGGGAUGUGAAAUCCCCGGGCUCAACCCGGGAACUGCAUUCCAAACUGGGUAUCUAGAGUGCAGGAGAGGAAAGCGGAAUUCCUAGUGUAGCGGUGAAAUGCGUAGAUAUUAGAGGAACACCAGUGGCGAAAGCGGCUUUCUGGACUGUAACUGACACUGAGGCAUGAAAGCGUGGGUAGCAACAGGAUUAGAU